GCGCUUCUCCGCACCGGGAUCCCCAGUCCCUCAGGUUCCGACAGACCCUCCUGUCAGGCCCAUUCUCCGGGCCCCCUCAGUUGCAGUGUUAAGAUCAACAGUGUUAAGAUUAAAGCCUUGUGAUGUGCUAGCCACUACGCUGAGGAUAUGCCGUGUACUAAAAUUCCUCAGGACUCCUCACAGCUGCCCUGUAAGGAAGCGGCCAUGGCCGGGUUCUAGCGAUGCGAGGCCGAGGCUCGGGGCGCUGAGUAGCCUAGCGCGUCGCCGAGGAGAGCUGGCACGUGAACCCCUUGUCGUUUGCCGUCAGAGGUGUUAUGUGGUGGCCCUCAUUCUCCAUGCAUGGAGCAGACUCUAGGAUCUGCAGUUACUGUAUGAUGAGCCCUUCUGAGUAUUUUGCUUGGCUUUGCACCUGGCGAGGUAACAUUGAGAGUAGUUAAUCUCUAGACUGGAAUCCAUCUGGAAGACCACUCAAUAACUUGUGAUUAGCUGGACCUGGUGAUGCAAGCCUGGAGUCCCAGUUACCCGGAGGCUGAGGUGGGAAUAUCGCUUGAGACCAGGAGUUUGAGGCUACAGUGAGCUGUGAUUGUACCACUGCACUCCAGCCUGGGUGACAGUGCAAGACCUCAUCUCUUAAAAAAAACAAACAACUCAAAAAACCUCAUCAUUGAGCACCUAUGAUGUGCCAGCAACUGUACUCAGUGGUGGGGACUUGACGACAAACAAACCAGGGAUGGGAUCCUUGAGCAGUCACCAUCUGACAAGUGACUGGGAAAGAUGAAUAAUGCCCUUCACCAAGAUUCUUCUCUGAUCCACAAAUUCAAUUACCAAUUUAUUUGUUCACUGCUCUUAAACUUAAAUAUUUUUUAGUAGGUAAUAAAGACAUGUUUAAACACUCUUAACUUUUAACAAUUUCUUUGUAAGUACUGUAAUAGUCUUCUUUUCCUUUAAAAAGAAAAAAUACAAAAAGAAGGAAAAGGAAAAUCUAUUCAAAAUAAAGUAUUCCAGAUAUCUGACAUUGCUGCAUUGCUGUAUCAUUCAUUAACAUUCACAAAAAAUAAAAUGAGUGCCUUCCGUGUGUGUGCAGGCAUUGUUCUAGGCAAAGAAGAUUUAGCAUUCAACCAAAACUUCUGUUCUCAUGGAACCUACCUACUCGCAGAUCCAAGCCAUGGUAGUUUGUUCAAGAACCUUCAGCUCUUUUCUGCUUUGUUGUCAAAGGCUUCUAAAAUUGGAUCCCCUCCUCCUUAGUUCUUCCUGAUCCCUGACAGGGAUCCUGUGCUUCAGUCAGCCUCCAAUCCCAACCACCACCACCAACAAAAUCACAAGAAGACACCUAGGCUAUUAUUCUUAACCUGUUUCCCAGUUUCUAUUUGUUAACCCCCUCUGGAUUAGGCAUUGUUGUCUUUGAUCUUGACAUGUGCCUCUAUGUGGAGAGUGUAUUUUUGCUCACCAAAUUUUUACUCAUUAAACUUUACUGGUGCUAUGCUUGCUAACUUAUUUCAGAUAAUUAGAGCUUUUGGAUGCUUUCUCCAGGACAAACUGUUCCUUUCCCCAUCCUCAGCCUUCCAUGCUGUUAAUGUACAAAAUCAGAUGAUUUAAACAUAAAUCAUCUUGAACUCUAGAAUGACCUGGUCCCCUUAGCGAAAAACUGUGGGAUUCAACACUACUCCUCAGUGAUGAUGGUAAGGCUACGUGGGCAGUUGUUUAACCAUUAUCCCCAGGUGCCCUCACCCACAGCCAGCCUGCUCAAAGGACUAUUUCCCAUUCCAAUAAUAAUGACAGAGCUAGGAGGGAGGCCAUGACUAAUAAAGACAUAUAAGAUGUUAUUGCAAAUUCUUUUUUCUAUCCAUAUGAAUUAUAAACUAAAAAAUAUUGACAAAUAUCAGCAAUUACAUCGAAAGAAGAAGGUGGUUGUCAAAAAUAAAAACCAUUGUUAUGUUUUAUAAAUGUUAUUGAAGUCCACAGGAAAUACAUUAAUUUGGUGGGUGUAAAAUUGGAAGAAUUUUGAAAAAUGUAUGCAGUGGUGUAACCACAAACACAAUCAGGAUAUUUCCAUCCCUCCAGAGUUGCCUUAUGUUCCUCCUCCCAAUCUGUUUCCUGUCAACUAAUUAUCUGCUGUCUGUCACUGUAAUAUUGCCUGUUCUAGGAAAUUAGAUGAGUGGAAUUUUCUAUUAUGUGGUCUUUUGAGUCUGACUUCUUUCAAUAAUUAUACUGACUU
rnacentral:lncRNA from 1 species